rnacentral:rRNA from 1 species
AUUGAACGCUGGCGGCAGGCUUAACACAUGCAAGUCGAACGAGUGGCGGACGGGUGAGUAAUGCUUGGGAAUCUAGCUUAUGGAGGGGGAUAACUACGGGAAACUGUAGCUAAUACCGCGUACCAUAGGAUGAGCCCAAGUGGGAUUAGGUAGUUGGUGAGGUAAAGGCUCACCAAGCCGACGAUCUCUAGCUGGUCUGAGAGGAUGACCAGCCAUACGAUGACUGAGACACGGCCCAGACUCCUACGGGAGGCAGAAGUGGGGAAUAUUGCGCAAUGGGGGCAACCUGACGCAGCCAUGCCGCGUGAAUGAAGAAGUCCGUCGGGUUGUAAAGCUCUUUCGGUAGAGAGGCUUUAACUACAGAGGAAGCACCGGCUAAGUCCGUGCCAGCAGCCGCGGUAAUUC